rnacentral:rRNA from 1 species
GACGAACGCUGGCGGCGUGCUUAACACAUGCAAGUCGAACGGUAAGGCCCUUCGGGGUACACGAGUGGCGAACGGGUGAGUGACACGUGGGUGAUCUGCCCUGCACUCCGGGAUAAGCCUGGGAAACUGGGUCUAAUACCGGAUAGGACCCUGGGAUGCAUGUCCUGGGGUGGAAAGCUUUUGCGGUGUGGGAUGGGCCCGCGGCCUAUCAGCUUGUUGGGGAGGUAAUGGCUCACCAAGGCGACGACGGGUAGCCGGCCUGAGAGGGCGACCGGCCACACUGGGACUGAGACACGGCCCAGACUCCUACGGGAGGCAGCAGUGGGGAAUAUUGGGCAAUGGAGGAAACUCUGACCCAGCGACGCCGCGUGAGGGAUGAAGGCCUUCGGGUUGUAAACCUCUUUCAGUAGGGAAGAAGCGAAAGUGACGGUACCUACAGAAGAAGCACCGGCUAACUAUGUGCCAGCCGCCGCCGUAA